GUAACAAGGUUUCCGUAGGUGAACCUGCGGAAGGAUCAUUACCUAGAGUUUGUAGACUUCGGUCUGCUACCUCUUACCCAUGUCUUCUGAGUACCUUCGUUUCCUCGGCGGGUCCGCCCGCCGAUUGGACAACAUUCAAACCCUUUGCAGUUGCAAUCAGCGUAUGAAAAAACAUAAUAGUUAC
rnacentral:rRNA from 1 species